AAAUAUUGUAGUCAGCGUACUUCCUGCCAGAACUGGAGGCUUAUGUAACAUACAACAUCUAUAAGCUUGACUGCCUUUAUUGAUUUUGAUGCACUCAACAUGCAGUGGAAGCUGUAACUUCAUCCCUCUAACCACCCGCCCAUGGCUAAAAGUGACCUUCUGGCCUUCAUCCUCCACAAAGAGGGUACAAUGGAAACUUCAGCUCUGUUUUCAUGCCUGAUGCCAGUAUGCUAAUUCCCCUCAGAUGGCCUUUUCAUUGGCUGAUGCUGACUCCCGUCGAUACGUGCCAGAUGACUGCCCCCCCCCAUCCCACUAUUAAAGAUCAUGGCCAUGGCAAGGCGACCAUUACCAAGAUAAGAGCAGAUGUGGCCGUAUGCCGGCUGCCUGCUUGCACUGAAUCACAUAUACCGUUACAAUAAGUUAUUACAUAUACCAGAACUGCAGGCAUUAUAGUAAGUGCAGACUGUAGUAGUGAAGACUGACAUGGACUGUAAAACACAUGUGGUGUGAAGAUCUGUUACAUCAAAAUAGAGUAUAAUUUUAUGACCCUUAUGACAAGCGGGUUUGUGAUUGGAA